rnacentral:tRNA from 1 species
GGAGAUGUAGCUCAGUGGUAGAGCACUUGCUUAAGCAUGUGCAAGGUCCUGGGUUCGAUCUCUAGCACCACCC